AAUAAACGCAACUAUGAAUUUCCGUGUCUAAUUUUGAUCGUCCGUCUUAUUUGAACUUUUUUAUGAUUAUUAAUUUUUAUGAUUAUAGUACUUUACGCGUGACUUAUGUUUUUUAGUUUUUUUAAAAAAUUUAAAUCAGACAGACGAUUAAAGUUGGACACAGAAACUAAUGGUUGCACUUAUU
rfam:Oryza glaberrima chromosome 1 Oglab01_0055_8, whole genome shotgun sequence.